GACGAACGCUGGCGGCGUGCCUAAUACAUGCAAGUAGAACGCUGAAGAGAGGAGCUUGCUCUUCUUGGAUGAGUUGCGAACGGGUGAGUAACGCGUAGGUAACCUGCCUUGUAGCGGGGGAUAACUAUUGGAAACGAUAGCUAAUACCGCAUAACAAUGAAUGACACAUGUCAUUUAUUUGAAAGGGGCAAUUGCUCCACUACAAGAUGGACCUGCGUUGUAUUAGCUAGUAGGUGAGGUAACGGCUCACCUAGGCGACGAUACAUAGCCGACCUGAGAGGGUGAUCGGCCACACUGGGACUGAGACACGGCCCAGACUCCUACGGGAGGCAGCAGUAGGGAAUCUUCGGCAAUGGGGGCAACCCUGACCGAGCAACGCCGCGUGAGUGAAGAAGGUUUUCGGAUCGUAAAGCUCUGUUGUAAGUCAAGAACGAGUGUGAGAGUGGAAAGUUCACACUGUGACGGUAGCUUACCAGAAAGGGACGGCUAACUACGUGCCAGCAGCCGCGGUAAUACGUAGGUCCCGAGCGUUGUCCGGAUUUAUUGGGCGUAAAGCGAGCGCAGGCGGUUUGAUAAGUCUGAAGUUAAAGGCUGUGGCUCGACCAUAGUUCGCUUUGGAAACUGUCAAACUUGAGUGCAGAAGGGGAGAGUGGAAUUCCAUGUGUAGCGGUGAAAUGCGUAGAUAUAUGGAGGAACACCGGUGGCGAAAGCGGCUCUCUGGUCUGUAACUGACGCUGAGGCUCGAAAGCGUGGGGAGCGAACAGG
rnacentral:rRNA from 1 species